rnacentral:rRNA from 1 species
GAUGAACGCUGGCGGCGUGCCUAAUACAUGCAAGUCGAGCGAACAGACGAGGAGCUUGCUCCUCUGACGUGAGCGGCGGACGGGUGAGUCACAUGUGGAAAACCCACCUAUAAGACUGGGAUAACUUCGGGAAACCGGAGCUAAUACCGGAUAAUAUAUUGAACCGCAUGGUUCAAUAGUGAAAGACGGUUUUGCUGUCACUUAUAGGUGGAUCCGCGCCGCAUUAGCUAGUUGGUAAGGUAACGGCUUACCAAGGCAACGAGGGGUAGCCGACCUGAGCGGGGGAUAGGCCACCAUGGAACUGAGACACGGUCCAGACUCCUACGGGAGGCAGCAGUAGGGAAUCGGCCGCAAUGGGCGAAAGCUUGACGGAGCAACGCCGCGUGAGUGAUGAAGGUCUUCGGAUCGUAAAACUCUGUUAUGAGGGAAGAACAAAUGUGUAAGUAACUAUGCACGUCUUGACGGUACCUAAUCAGAAAGCAACGGCUAACUACGUG